CUUUAUGUUGCCACAGUCUAAAAGAUAAGCUAGUCUUAGGAAUCAAUAAAUGAUGAUCUUGUUUGGCCGUGGAAGAUGCACUAAUCUUGGUCUUGCCUUUUGAUUUGUACUUUUCUCCUUUACAAGACUUGUAAUCCCAACUGAGUAUUGGAAUUACUGAUGAUGAUCUGGAGGGCUUGAUCGAUUGGUUUGAGAGAACAGGGUUUUGAUUUGCGUAACCUACAAAUUUCCUUCAAACCCAGGCGAUUCUAAAUGUCAUGAGUUAAUCUGGAAACGAUGUUAGCACAAAUUAGGAAGUAUGGGCUAAGUUUGUUGCAGUUGAAACUGUAUAUCAAUAAUUUCAACACUGACGUGUUUGAAGUUUUGAUUUUGAUUUUUAGGGUUACAUAAAUUGGGAAGAAAAAAUUUUAUGCUGUUGUGACCUCCUUUUCAGGAAAAAAGAAGACUUUUUUUUAUUCACCAAGUUCUAGAUUUGUGUAAUCAUGUGCUGAACAUUUUUUGAUUGCUGCUUUGCUCAUUACAAUCGUGUGCCAUUUGUAGGAUCAGCUUUUAAGAAUUUGCAAAGUUAAUGAAUUCAAAUAGAAUCAGUAAUUUCUAUCUUCUUUUUACUCUGGCCAAUUAUUGGUACUUUCUAUUUUGUAUAGUAUUAAUGGUAAUUUCUUCUUAAGUCAGAAGAGCCAUAUAUAUAGGACUUAUAGUGCCAGUAUUGUACCCUUUUUUUGGAAAGAUUCCCAUGUUGUCUUGCAUGAGUGAUUUAAGAGACCCAAAUGUCAAAGUUGCUACCUUUCUCCAGCUAAUGGUGUUGAUUUGCUACGUCUACGGAACAAGCAUACACAUACUGUGGCUUGUGUUGGUGUGCAUAUGCAUG